AACCGGAUUAGAUACCCUGGUAGUCCACGCUGUAAACGAUGAAGACUAGAUGUUGGGCAGCUUAGACUGCUCAGUAUCGAAGCUAACGCGAUAAGUCUUCCGCCUGGGGAGUACGGUCGCAAGAUUAAAACUCAAAGAAAUUGACGGGGGCCCGCACAAGCGGUGGAGCAUGUGGUUUAAUUCGAUGCAACGCGAAGAACCUUACCUACCCUUGACAUCCAAAGAAUUUUGCAGAGAUGUGAAAGUGCCGAAAGGAACUUUGAGACAGGUGCUGCAUGGCUGUCGUCAGCUCGUGUUGUGAGAUGUUGGGUUAAGUCCCGUAACGAGCGCAACCCUUAUCCUUAGUUGCCAGCAUUUAGUUGGGGACUCUAAGGAGACUGCCGGUGAUGAACCGGAGGAAGGCGGGGACGACGUCAAGUCACCAUGGCCUUUAUGGGUAGGGCUACACACGUGCUACAAUGGGCGGUACAGAGGGCAGCGAAAGCGCGAGCUGGAGCCAAUCCCGAAAAGCCGUUCAUAGUCCGGAUCGGAGUCUGCAACUCGACUCCGUGAAGUCGGAAUCGCUAGUAAUCGCGAAUCAGAAUGUCGCGGUGAAUACGUUCCCGGGCCUUGUACACACCGCCCGUCACACCAUGGGAGUGGGUUGUACCAGAAGUAGGCAGUUUAACCGCAAGGGGAACGCUUACCACGGUAUGGUUCAUGACUGGGGUGAAGUCGUAACAAGGUAACCGUA
rnacentral:rRNA from 1 species